GACGAACGCUGGCGGCGUGCUUAACACAUGCAAGUCGAACGGUGAAGGGGAGCUUGCUCCCCGGAUCAGUGGCGAACGGGUGAGUAACACGUGGGCAACCUGCCCCAGACUUCGGGAUAACGCUUCGAACGAGGUGCUAAUACCGGAUACGAACUCCUUGGGCAUCCUGGGAGGUGGAAAGUUUUUCGGUCUGGGAUGGGCACGCGGCCUAUCAGCUUGUUGGUGAGGUAACGGCUCACCAAGGCGACGACGGGUAGCCGGCCUGAGAGGGCGACCGGCCACACUGGGACUGAGACACGGCCCAGACUCCUACGGGAGGCAGCAGUGGGGAAUAUUGCGCAAUGGGCGAAAGCCUGACGCAGCAACGCCGCGUGAGGGAUGACGGCCUUCGGGUUGUAAACCUCUUUCAGCAGGGAAGAAGCGAAAGUGACGGUACCUGCAGAAGAAGCACCGGCUAACUACGUGCCAGCAGCCGCCGUAA
rnacentral:rRNA from 1 species